CAAUCGCCAACUGGAGAGAGAGAUGUGAAUCUCCACCGAAGGGGCAAGCAAUUUAGGUUGCGUAAACUCUCAGGUAAAAAGGACAGAGGGAGUGGC
rnacentral:ncRNA from 2 species